AGAGAUUAGGUGUCCCUUCGGGGACGCUGAGACAGGUGGUGCAUGGCUGUCGUCAGCUCGUGUCGUGAGAUGUUGGGUUAAGUCCCGCAACGAGCGCAACCCUUGUCAUUAGUUGCCAUCAUUAAGUUGGGCACUCUAAUGAGACUGCCGGUGACAAACCGGAGGAAGGUGGGGAUGACGUCAAGUCAUCAUGCCCCUUAUGACCUGGGCUACACACGUGCUACAAUGGACGGUACAACGAGAAGCGAACCUGCGAAGGCAAGCGGAUCUCUUAAAGCCGUUCUCAGUUCGGACUGUAGGCUGCAACUCGCCUACACGAAGCUGGAAUCGCUAGUAAUCGCGGAUCAGCACGCCGCGGUGAAUACGUUCCCGGGUCUUGUACAC
rnacentral:rRNA from 1 species